rnacentral:rRNA from 1 species
UACGGGGGGGGCAAGCGUUGUUCGGAAUUACUGGGCGUAAAGGGCUCGUAGGUGGCCAACUAAGUCAGACGUGAAAUCCCUCGGCUUAACCGGGGAACUGCAUCUGAUACUGGAUGGCUUGAGAUUGGGAGAGGGACGCGGAAUUCCAGGUGUAGCGGUGAAAUGCGUAGAUAUCUGGAGGAACACCGGUGGCGAAGGCGGCGUCCUGGACCAACACUGACACUGAGGAGCGAAAGCCAGGGGAGCAAACAGG